rnacentral:rRNA from 1 species
UACGGAGGGUGCAAGCGUUAAUCGGAAUUACUGGGCGUAAAGGGUGCGUAGGCGGUUGUUUAAGUCUGUUGUGAAAUCCCCGGGCUCAACCUGGGAAUGGCAAUGGAUACUGGGCAGCUAGAGUGUGUCAGAGGAUGGUGGAAUUCCCGGUGUAGCGGUGAAAUGCGUAGAGAUCGGGAGGAACAUCAGUGGCGAAGGCGGCCAUCUGGGACGUGACUGACGCUGAGACGCGAAAGCGUGGGGAGCAACAGG